rnacentral:rRNA from 1 species
UACGUAGGUGGCAAGCGUUGUCCGGAAUUAUUGGGCGUAAAGCGCGCGCAGGCGGUCCUUUAAGUCUGAUGUGAAAGCCCACGGCUCAACCGUGGAGGGUCAUUGGAAACUGGGGGACUUGAGUGCAGGAGAGAAGAGUGGAAUUCCACGUGUAGCGGUGAAAUGCGUAGAGAUGUGGAGGAACACCAGUGGCGAAGGCGACUCUUUGGCCUGUAACUGACGCUAAGGCGCGAAAGCGUGGGGAGCGAACAGG